GUGUCUAUUGAAAGGAGAGCUGGUUAGCACUCCCCUUGACAAGGAUGGAACACAUAAAUGGUCGGAUGGCACUGUUAGAUAUUCGACCGCCAAUUUUU